GCCGGGUGCGGUGGCGUGCUCCUGUAAUCCUGCUGCUGGGAGGCUGAGGCUGGCGGAUCGCCUGAGUCCAGGAGUUCUGAUCUGCCCUACGCUAUGUUGAUCGGAUGUCUGCACUAAGUUCGGUAUCAAUAUGGCGGGGCUGGGGGAGCUCGGCUUCACCAGGUUGCUCUAAGGAGGGGUGAACCGGCCCAGGUCGGAAACAGAGCAGGUCAAAAAAACUGGAGGGGUGAAAAUUUUAUUCAAAAACUAAAUCAGGAAGAAAUGGGAAUAAUUUUU
ensembl:misc_RNA Metazoa_SRP Metazoan signal recognition particle RNA